rnacentral:lncRNA from 1 species
GUCGCUGUCACGUCUUUGAUGUUCACAGUCUGUGUUACGGCCCAGGAGAUUGUCGGAACCAAGAACCAAGUUAAAAUAAUGUUUCCUGGAACAGGUUUUAGAGAAAUCAAUCAUUAAUUCACUUUAUAGCGAUUAAUUUUAUGUUUAUAUAUUGGGGUGGAAUGCUUUUAUGCUUUUUGACUCUGUUUUUGUGCUUAACUUGGUUUUGUUCUUUUGUAUUGCUGCAAGACUGCUAAAGUUGUUAGUCAGCCUAUUGUUAGAUAAUUUUGCUUAAGUUUGUAUCACUUUUUUGAAUCAUGAUCAUCUUAAUUAUGGUCGCCAGAUAAUUGGAAAACAUUGAUAAGGGUUAACCUGUACAAAUGCCGAAUAUACAUCCAAAAUACCCACUGUCAUGCCAAAUCUUUAUUCAACGCUUUCCAAUCUUCAAUAUAUUUUAUCUUGGGUUAUAAAUGGUGUUCUGAUGUUAACACGGAGAGCUUCGUGGAUCACUUACCUGUUAUUUUUCAUGAUUUAUGAUCAAGGUGUUAGAGAAAUGUUUUUCCAAAAUGUAGCGAACAUUGGCAAUUCUUGUAAAUUUAUUUACUUACAUGUGGUCAGCAAAAAGGUAGAAAAGGGGAAAAUUAGUUGGAAUAGUUCUUAUAACGUGGUUGAUGUUGACAUAUUUGUUGCUUGGUGAAAAUAAUCUGAUUGCUAGAUAUGAAAAAAAUUCAAUUUCCAUGAAUGCAUAUGGAAAAUAACUCUUAAAGCUAGAAAUUUUGAAGUUUAUAUCACUCUACCAGGAAAAAAAUAGUAGUAGGUAUCGCGAGAUUAUAGUGGCCAUGCGUUAAAUAAACUGUACCGACCAUUCGCAAUCCGUACCGGCUCCAUUUUUUUUUUACUUUUGGCCUGAACCAACCAAACCGGUAUGGUCCCGGUACCGUACGGGUACCAGCGCCCACCGGUACGUCGGUAUGGUUGGUAUGGCGGACCUUGGUUUGGAGGUUGCCAAUCUAGUUUACCAUUCAUGUCCAGCAUGAGAGUUUUUUUCCUCCUCUCACAAGAGAAUUGUGAAGUGUUUUUUAGCCAGGAUAGAAGGUUAUCUUGUUUGUGUGGAUUCAAUUGUUCUUUUCCACUUCUUUUCAGUAACAACUUUGAGGAAUCUUGUUAUCUUGGUCUUAACACUAAUGAACUUCAAAUAAUGGGCAGCAAGGUAGAAGAUACAUAUCAAAAAUCCUGAUAUGCCAGGAUGGGCUUCACAAAACUCCAAAGAGAGAGAUUGUUAAAAUAUUUGGACUACUUUGUGCACUUAAAUUCUCAGCUAGUGGUUUUUUUUCCCUUACCUACUCCAGGGGAAAAAGACAAUUUUUAAACAUCAUUUGUUCUCUAUUUCAGGAUGUACUUUGACCAGUCACCACAGUUAUCAUUCAUGAACAUUUAUGCAAUGCGUGCCACAAUUCCAGGUUCUGUUAUCAUUGAUGGUAAGGGUUAAAAAAAAAAAAACUAUUUUAUGGUUCAUUAGUAUGGCUGCUUUUCUUCCUUAUAAUCAAGAAUAUGUGUCAGUUGCUUUUUGCUAUUGUUAUUUUCUUCUUCCUUUUUUCUUUCCUUUUUUUUUAGCCUAUUUGUCAGUGCGUGGGAUGGGGGGCUGGUAAUUUGGGACUGAUGGUACCGUGUGUGCGUUGGAGGGAUAUUUAGUCUAUGCUCUAACACUUCCCUGUCAACUUUUCAUGAUGAGAAAACUAUGUAACUGAUGCAGCAGCAGUGGCAUGAGCUUUCUAAGUGGACUACAUUUUUCCUUAUUUGUUCAUUUGGAAUUUGGAAAGCCUUUAGUGAGGUUAAGUUUGAGAGAAACAAAGAACUUAGAUAGCAUGGCAGAGCGAUUCCCAUUAGUUUGUAGGAUAGUUAUGGAAGACUAGCCCUUGUCACUCUGCAGGAAUUUUGUAUAGCCUUAUCAGACAUUUUUUACUUGAAUAGCUUUCUUCACCUACUGCAGCAGGUGUAUCUGUCGAUGUUUAAUAAAAAAGGAAAAUUUUCAGUUUGAUAUAUGAUUGGUAAUUUUGCAAGAAGCAGUGCAAUUAAGUUGGUUGAACGUUCUUCUAAAUAAUUCAUUUCAUGUACUAUGUAAAGGUGGAUCAGGCUAUUGCAAGUAUGGCUGGAGCAAGUAUUAUUCUCCAUCUGGACGUUGUGCUACUUUUUUGGUAAGAAUUGGUCAUAUUAUUUAACAUUGAUUAAUAAGUUUCUACUAAAAAUUCAAUAGUUCAUUGAAACUUCCUUGUCCUUGUUAUUCUUUCUAUAUUGCCUAACAUCUAAGAUCACAAGUGGACACAUUUUCACCUGUAGUUAAUCUUCACUGUAUGCAGGAAUUUGGUAACAUUGAGUCACCAAUGUAUUCAAGGCUUCGUCAUUUUUUCUCGACAAUCUAUAGCAGGUUCUUCUUCUUCUUCUUCUUCUUGGAUAAAAUAUGCAUCAGUCAUGUACUAAAAUGCUUUGCCAUGCUAGAGGUGGCACCAUUCAAUGUAUAUGUUACUAUUUAAGGCCUAUGACCACUCGCUGCUCGCUGAUUUUGAGCUUUGUGGUUUUCUAGUUUUGAGUUUAUCCUAGUAUGUUCAUGAUGGGGCUGAAAGAUUGAUUUUAGCACGAGACCAUUCUAAGAGUUUGACUCAUAUAUAGAAGAUCUUGGUUGCUUUUCUGUUAAGAAAGAUUGAGUUAGAUUUUAAUCUACUCUUAACAUUGCUUGGUAUUUCUUAGGGCUUAAGCACCUUGUCUUAUACAUGUAGUAAAGGCUAUCCAAAUCCUUGGGAUAAGAAAUAUUAUUUUGAAAUACUGGCUAUUUUUUUGCUGGACUAUGAUUUUUUUUUGUUGCUUGUAUUCCCAUUGUGUCCUCCUUUCCUCCUCACUCUUUGCUUUUCCUACACUUGCAGACCAUUAUACCGGUACCUUGCAUCUUAAACGCGUUAGGAACCAAUUGCAAAUGCCUUCAUUCUUGGGUGGCAUGUGCUACAUGGUUUAUUUGUAGUGGUAUGAUUGCACAAGUUGUGCUGGAUUGAGAUCUAGGUACUCAUAUAUAGGUGCCAACCCAAAUCUAACCCAUUUAAGAAGCUGUUUCAGAAUUGCAAACCAGAAGCAAUCUAUUAUAAAUUUAACGGCUACCUCAAUUGACUUGUUCAACCUGCUUAAUAAACAUAUCAAGUUGUGUAACCUGUCAAACAACAUGAUUCCUACACCUUUGGCCUGCUAAUCAAGAUGGACAUGAUACCGCUGAUGAAUUAAUUCAAGCAUGAAAUAAUUAGCUUGUCAAUCCAAUUAAGCUAACCCAUUAGGGUUAUUCUUUUCAACUUGUUGCUUCAUGCAAUAUAAUGUAUCAUUUAUAUCAAUAUGAAAAAUGCAAAUUGUUGUAAUUAUAUUAAACGAUAGCAUUUUACACUUCAGGUAAUAAGUUUAAAUUGUGUUAUUGGGUUACGUUGGGGAUUGGCUUGUUUGAUUAUGCUUAAGCCAACCUAUUUAAUAAACUUUCUGUCCCAAUUGACCUGUUUAUGACCCAAUUUGAUUAUGCUUGACCUAAACCUUUCUACAAUAUUGUGUUCGAGUCUUGUUUGUGAGUCAUGGAUUGCCAGUUUGUCUAUAUAUAUGUAAUGAGCCAUUUUACAAGAAUAUUUUAUUAUUAUUACUAGCUUUUUGGAACUUGUGGUUAGAGAAGUCAAAGAAUCAAAAUAUUUGUAACUAUUUUGGAAGGAAGUGCUCAAGUUCAAGGUUUUGUGUACCGGUUUCAAUACCUGUAUUGGUGUUCAAUCAAUACAUCCUGUACAGAGUGUUGAUAUAAUACCUCCCAUAGUACUGGCACUUGGUACUGGGGACAUGUUGAGUAUUGGAUCCCUCCUAGUAUGGUACGGUAUACUUGAUAUGGCUGGUACUCAAAUCUUUGCUCGAGUUAAUGCAAUAAAUGCGGCACUUCAUUGUUGAAGGAAAAGAUCCUAAAAUAAAUCUCUAGCCCCCUUAAAAUGCUUGCGAUCAAUACAUGAAGAUUUAAACAAUGCAUGAAUACCAUGCAAGUUACAGAACAAACAUCUUUGGACUUAGAUGUCUCCUG